AACCUGAACCCGAGCGUGCACAGUGCACUGCCCGCGUCGCUCUCCGGCCGGCGCUUCUUCCCGUUCCGCCUUCUUUGAAAUCUGAAGAAUCGAAGCAACUCAAGCAAGUCCGGUGCUUGGCCAUUGGUACCAAGGCGCACCGCUUCCGCCGCGCUCCAAACUCCGUUUCAGUUAGCGCGGCGUGCAGGUGCAGGGGUAUCGAUCCGAGGCGCGGUCCAGCCAGAUUGGGAACACUGAUGGUUAAUGGAUCAUCACUAUGGUGAAUAUUUCUACUAGCGUUCUGCUUCUGGAUAUUUUUGUUCCGUUGAAUAUGUCAGCGUAAACCAGGGAAAUUGGAUGCCACGUAUCCCCCUGUACAUGGUAGUGCUGAAUUUCUUUAUCCAAUCCAGUACGAGGGCUUUUCAAUUAUCAGGUCAUUCAUUGGCAUUGGCAUGAUUCUUCCAUAGUGUGUUGUUACCACAGCUAGAGAUACUCUUGCAGGUGUAGACUGUGACAGCUUCACCCAUAAAUGCAGCUAAAUAACCUUGAACAACUAUGAACUUAGGCACAGAAUUAUCCAAGAAGAUCGAUAUUGGUAGUAUAUUAUUCUGCUAAUGCAUUCGUUGUAAGGGGAAUCCACUACUGGUGAACAUAUUUAACCUAUUAGCUGGUUGAAAGGAACAGGUAAAUCAUCUUAUCUUGGAACAUAUUGGUUCAGAAAUAUCACCCAUCAACUUAUUUGCCAAAGUAUUUUUUAAGUGAUGCGCCACGAACAAAGCUAUUAAGAUUGUCAAGAACAGCAGAAGUGCUGCAUAGCUUAUUUCUGAUCUUUUCAGUAUUGUUUGUAUCAGUCAUGAUCAUUUUUCAUCCAUAUAACUGCUACCCGGACAGGAGGCCAUGGUCUACCCUUCAUUCUUCUCACCUUAUAUAAAAUAAAACACACACAUUACACUAGGACAAAAGGCUUCAUUGAGCAUUAAUAUGUGGUCUGACCCUUGGCAAUCAUGUACUUCGUAUACACAUACCAGUGCUUGGAACUUCUGUAUCUCGAAUGCUGGUUGUUCUAUGGAGUUCUUUUUUGCAGACCUUGUUUUUUGGAGUUAAGAAGAUCCCUGUACCCAACAGUUGAAGGCAUGCUAUUGUACUCUAAUUGUAGAUAGUUUACUUCUGAUUUGUUAAGUUCCUAUACACCAGUGCCCAUGAGUAUGUCCGGGGUAAUAUUUUUUUAACUGAACUGCAGGGGGGUAGUAGUAUUUUCUUUUAUCUGUUUCACGUUACUAGGUUGCUAAAAUAUGCACACUAAGUGCGAAAAUACACAGGUGAACAUGGUUGCAUGCGCGCACACAUGAAUAGUAAAUUCAUAAAAAUACUAGAAAAAUUCAAAAAAAUCUGAAAUUGUGGGAUAUCAAACUUGGUCGCCCAUUCCACUCACGUGUUAAGUUUCCUGAAGAAAUGACGCCUGUGGUACACUUAGUGAAGAAAAUACAGUCAGGACCUUACCAUACAUCAAACAGCGAUGUCAUUUCUUCCUGAAACUUCAUACGCGAGUAUACCGGUCGACUAUCUAUGUUACAAUUUUUUUCAGAUUUUCUUAGUAUUUUUUUUAAUUUACUAUUCAUAAGGGGUGUGCGUGGAACCAUGUUCACCAAAUUCCUGUCCCACUAACUGGUUCUACAAUCUUCUGAUUUUUUUUACUGAAAGUGUUUGAUUAUGUUGCAGGAAAUGCCAACUUUGUUUGGAUCAUGUGUUUGUAGUUAUCCAGGACAAGGAAAGAACAUAAAAUCUCACACAUCCAUCAACUAUAGCAGCCUCACAUAACAUAACAAAAUUUGGCCUGGGUAUUUAUUUAUCUUCCUUCCUUUCCCAUGUUGUGUGUCAUUUACUUUCCUUUGGAAGUAAUGGGGUCAUUUCCUUUUCUGUUGCCUUGUCGUUGAACUACACGAGGACACAUCCUGAUACACUGGUCUUUUCUUUGAAAGAUGAAAUGAAAGUGACAUGCUUACCAUUCCAAUCAACACAAUCAAGGAAGUCAAGGAGCACGGGGCUCUUGCACUGGGGGCACCGAGGGUCAUCCUGGGGGAGCAUGACGUAGAUGAAGCAGCGAGGGCAGGCA